rnacentral:lncRNA from 1 species
GGAUUCUUCGGCCACUGAAAGAAAAUGCAAACACGAGAACCAUUUUUGUUGGGCUAUGUGAGCGGUGGGCCGAAGUCUAAACAACACCUGGUCGUGGGCUCUUAGCCAUGUCUGAAAAAUGUUGCUGCUCAUAAGAGGAAGAAGAAGAAGAAGAACGAUGGCUGAAAUGUCUCCGAACUCGAAUUUUCCAAUCGAGUGAUCGAUUGACCUUUAUCCCGUGAGGAGAUCCCAGCGUCGUGAUCCAACACGCGCAACGAACUCCUCCCCGGCAGCGCACGCGCCUUCGCCUUCCGCGUCCGAAACGGAAACGAACCAAGCCGUGUCGCUGGCUCGCUGCCACGCCACUAUGCCAGUCUAUAAAACCAGCGUGACGACGCGGCGAUCACAAUCGAGCCAGCACUGCCUCCGAACGGGCUCUCGCUGACGCCGAGCGCGACCACACCGACCAGUGACCCGCUGCCGAGGUUGUUCCCAUGGAGGCGUUCCUCGCCGCAAUGAUCUUCUGCGAUGCGCAACGCCAGAAAGAACCGCGAGGACGUGGUCAGGCUAAGACUGGCGGCGCCGCCAGUGACGGAGGCAGCGGGACGCCCGCCGACGCGCCCUUCGAUGGCCUGCGCUGCUUACAGGCCGUCGUAUUCCGCAUCGACUGAUAGAUCGAUCGAUGGAUCAGGACUCUUCAGAAAACCGUGCUACGGUCUUCAAUUUCCUUUAAUCGUGUUUAUGGCUGCUCGU